GCCUCACAUAAGAGGCCCAGCCUGCCCAGUGACUAUUGUUUAACGGCCGCGGUAUCCUGACCGCGCAAAGGUAGCGCAAUCACUUGUCUUUUAAAUGAAGACUAGUAUGAACGGCACCACGAGGAUUAUACUGUCUCCUUUCUCUAAUCAGUGAAACUAAUCUCCCCGUGAAAAAGCGGGUAUACAAAUAUAAGACGAGAAGACCCUAUGGAGCUUUAAACUAAUAACAAUCGUUCCCCCUUCCAGUACUUUAACUAAACUCAACGACAUGAUUAAAAGUUUUCGGUUGGGGCGACCACGGAGAAAAAAAUAACCUCCACAUUGAACGGGACUAACCCCUGAGCAAAAAACCACAACUUCCUGCACCAAUAAAUUGACAUUUCUUGACCCAAUAUUUUGACCAAUGAACCAAGUUACCCUAGGGAUAACAGCGCAAUCCACUUCAAGAGCCCCUAUCGACAAGCGGGUUUACGACCUCGAUGUUGGAUCAGGGUAUCCCAGUGGCGCAGCCGCUACAAAAGGUUCGUUUGUUCAACGAUUGAAACCCU
rnacentral:rRNA from 1 species